UAGCUACUCCCUCCGUCCGGAAAUACUUGUUCUCGAAAUGGUUAUAUCUAGACUUAUUUUAGUUAUAGAUACAUCCAUUUUAUUCAUUUGUAGGACAAGUAUUUCCGGACGGAGGGAGUACAAG
rfam:Triticum urartu cultivar G1812 contig837269, whole genome shotgun sequence.